rnacentral:rRNA from 1 species
UACGUAGGGGGCAAGCGUUGUCCGGAAUCAUUGGGCGUAAAGAGCGUGUAGGCGGUCCGGUAAGUCGGCUGUGAAAGUCCAGGGCUCAACCCUGGGAUGCCGGUCGAUACUGCCGGACUAGAGUUCGGAAGAGGCGAGUGGAAUUCCCGGUGUAGCGGUGAAAUGCGCAGAUAUCGGGAGGGACACCUAUGGCGAAGGCAGCUCGCUGGGACGUUACUGACGCUGAGACGCGAAAGCGUGGGGAGCAAACAGG